CGUCUGUAAACUGGGUCGAAACUACUGUAUAAAUAAACUUCGGUCCACGUGACAUCCCUUCACGUCUAUGCUCGCUAUCCCAAGGUUCAUUGCGAUCCCAAGGUUCACUGCGGUUUUCCACAAGCCUGUUUCUGCCUAUCACCAUGAGUGAUUCCUUGAUACUCAGAUUUUUCAUCAAGAUCUCAAUUAUAAGCUCAAGUCUUGAUGACAACUUGAUGAUCUGCAUGAAGCACCACCAUGUAUAGAGGGCCAAGACCACUCUGGAAUCAGUCAAGGCUCAUAGGAACUCCAAUCUUCCCAACUGUGAGAGGGCCUUGCUCC
rnacentral:lncRNA from 1 species